AUGUGCGUCGUGGUUCCGGAUCGGCGCAGGUCGCCACCGUGGGAGAGGCGCAUCGUGCUUCUGGAUCGGCAGGUCGCCGCCGUGGGAGAGCAAGGGUGGCCUGGUCUUCUGGUGCUUGUGGAUGAGCAGGGGGCGGCUGAUAAGGUGGCGGUGGUAGGAGAAGGAGGAGGUCCUUGUCCUCCGCCAUCAAAUCGAGUAGGAGGAGGAGGUCUCGUCAUCCACCACAACCGUCAGGUGAUGGAUCAUCCUGAUAACCAGGUUGAGUGCAUCAGCUACUGCCAUGGCAAUGGAUUUAACGAAUGCAAACUAACAAGGCACAUCAUCUAA
rnacentral:rRNA from 1 species